CCUACGGGAGACAGCAGUGGGGAAUAUUGCGCAAUGGGCGAAAGCCUGACGCAGCGACGCCGCGUGAGGGAUGAAGGUCUUCGGAUCGUAAACCUCUGUCAGCAGGGAAGAACGGUAACUGUGCUAAUCAGCAGUGAAUUGACGGUACCUGCAAAGGAAGCACCGGCUAACUCCGUGCCAGCAGCCGCGGUAAUACGGAGGGUGCGAGCGUUAAUCGGAGUUACUGGGCGUAAAGGGCGCGUAGGCGGUAUGUCAAGUCAAGGGUGAAAUCCCCGCGCUCAACGUGGGAACUGCCUUUGAAACUGGCAGACUGGAGUGCGUGAGAGGAAAGCGGAAUUCCAGGUGUAGGAGUGAAAUGCGUAGAUAUCUGGAGGAACAUCAGUGGCGAAGGCGACUAUCUGGCACGUAACUGACGCUGAGGAGCGAAAGCGUGGGUAGCAAACAGGAUUAGAUACCCUAGUAGUC
rnacentral:rRNA from 1 species